GAUGAACGCUAGCGGGAGGCCUAACACAUGCAAGCCGAGCGGUAUUGUUUCUUCGGAAAUGAGAGAGCGGCGUACGGGUGCGGAACACGUGUGCAACCUGCCUUUAUCUGGGGGAUAGCCUUUCGAAAGGAAGAUUAAUACUCCAUAACAUAUUGAUUGGCAUCAAUUAAUAUUGAAAGCUCCGGCGGAUAGAGAUGGGCACGCGCAAGAUUAGCUAGUUGGUGAGGUAACGGCUCACCAAGGCGAUGAUCUUUAGGGGGCCUGAGAGGGUGAUCCCCCACACUGGUACUGAGACACGGACCAGACUCCUACGGGAGGCAGCAGUGAGGAAUAUUGGUCAAUGGGUGCAAGCCUGAACCAGCCAUCCCGCGUGAAGGACGACUGCCCUAUGGGUUGUAAACUUCUUUUGUAUAGGGAUAAACCUACCCUCGUGAGGGUAGCUGAAGGUACUAUACGAAUAAGCACCGGCUAACUCCGUGCCAGCAGCCGCGGUAAUACGGAGGGUGCAAGCGUUAUCCGGAUUUAUUGGGUUUAAAGGGUCCGUAGGCGGACUUAUAAGUCAGUGGUGAAAGCCUGUCGCUUAACGAUAGAACUGCCAUUGAUACUGUAAGUCUUGAGUAUAUUUGAGGUAGCUGGAAUAAGUAGUGUAGCGGUGAAAUGCAUAGAUAUUACUUAGAACACCAAUUGCGAAGGCAGGUUACCAAGAUAUAACUGACGCUGAGGGACGAAAGCGUGGGGAGCGAACAGGAUUAGAUACCCUGGUAGUCCACGCCGUAAACGAUGCUAACUCGUUUUUGGGCUUUAGGGUUCAGAGACCAAGCGAAAGUGAUAAGUUAGCCACCUGGGGAGUACGCUCGCAAGAGUGAAACCCAAAGGAAUUGACGGGGGCCCGCACAAGCGGUGGAUUAUGUGGUUUAAUUCGAUGAUACGCGAGGAACCUUACCAAGACUUAAAUGGGAAUUGACAGCUUUAGAAAUAGAGCUUUCUUCGGACAAUUUUCAAGGUGCUGCAUGGUUGUCGUCAGCUCGUGCCGUGAGGUGUUAGGUUAAGUCCUGCAACGAGCGCAACCCCUGUCACUAGUUGCCAUCAUUCAGUUGGGGACUCUAGUGAGACUGCCUACGCAAGUAGAGAGGAAGGUGGGGAUGACGUCAAAUCAUCACGGCCCUUACGUCUUGGGCCACACACGUAAUACAAUGGCCGGUACAGAGGGCAGCUACACAGCGAUGUGAUGCAAAUCUCGAAAGCCGGUCUCAGUUCGGAUUGGAGUCUGCAACUCGACUCUAUGAAGCUGGAAUCGCUAGUAAUCGCGCAUCAGCCAUGGCGCGGUGAAUACGUUCCCGGGCCU
rnacentral:rRNA from 1 species